rnacentral:rRNA from 1 species
GAAUUUGUCGGUUGGUCGGGCUUCACUGUCCGCACUGGCCUGAUGGAUUCCUACCUUCUGAAUAACCAGCAUGCUAUUAAUUUAGUGCGUUGGGGAAGCAGAGCUAUUACCUUGAAAAAUUAGAGUGCUUAAAGCAGGCUCACGCUUGAAUAGAUUAGCAUGGAAUAAUAAAAUAGGACGGCUUGGUUCUAUUUUGUUGGUUUCUAGGAUCACCGUAAUGAU